rnacentral:tRNA from 1 species
UCCCUGGUGGCUCAGACGGUAAAGUGUCUGUCUGCAAUGCAGGAGACACAGGUUCGAUCCCUGGGUUGGGAA